AUUUAAAUAGCUUAUAAAGAGCAUGAUAUUGAAGAUAUCAAGGAAAUCGUAGAUUUUUAAAUA
rnacentral:tRNA from 1 species